rnacentral:ncRNA from 1 species
AAUGACGGUGUCAACGAGUCUGGGAACCUGGCCCGAAAGGGUUGGGCAAAUUGUUUCAUCACAGUCGUGACUGGGAUCGGGACUUGCAAUUAUUCCCCAUGAAC